UGGCAGUCACUCCGCGCUCCACGUUUUGCAGGCUGCCACCGUGUCGGAGGCGAGGCGAGGAAGGGAGCUGGAAUAACAAAGGGAGGUAAUGGGGUAGAUUGGAUACCUCUGGGGUCUUGGAAGAAGCUAUGACUUAUUUACUGCCUGCUGUGUGGUGGAUGGUGUUUGAAGUGAAUUGAAUUAGGGGGCACCCAGCUGGCAUCUGCUGCAGAACUGAUGACUCGCUUGCUGGUGGGCAGUAAUCUUUCUUUAGCAGAUGAGGUCACUGAGGCUCAGAGAGGCUGAAGCCACUUGCUCAGAGCUGCACAGCAAGCCCACCACCCUGAACCUCCAGAUUCCCAGCUCAGCAUUGUGUUCUGACAGUGUCAUUAUAGACGGUCAACACCCUCACCUGGCAGCACUGAAGCCCAGAGGGGGAGAGACUGGCUCAAGACCAUGGCCUCUCCUGGUCUGACAAUCUCAGAUGCAGUCAUGGAUGGCUUUCUGGAGGAAGUGGUACCUGGUCUGUGGGAAGUAGGAGUCAGCAUCCUGGUCUCCGGGAGCAUCUGCUCCAGAUGGUUUCCCUGGGGCCCCCAGAAGCAGGUGUUUGCGCUAACAGCUCUGCAAGCAGAGAGCUUCACUUCAUGGCCCUUCUUGCCCUUGUUCCCAGGCACAUGCUGUUCCCCUGGGGCCGAAUACCCCACUUACUUGUAAAUCCCAGUGCUCUCCCGUUCAUUCUGCAGUGCCAGCACAAGUCUCCUCCUUGGGGAAGGCUUUCUGGACUUCCCAGGCCACUGGCCAUUGUUCCCUCUUGCAGGUGCCCCC
rnacentral:antisense_RNA from 1 species